UAUAUUCUCCGAAAAGGGGGGAUGAGAACCCCCGACCGGGGUUCGACAACUGGCGACAGCCAGUAGGACAGACUGAGAGCGCAGCAGCGAACAGGCUGCCCGUAGGGCGAGCGAAGCGAGUCAAUCCCCCCCUCACCGCCA
rnacentral:sRNA from 1 species